UGUGCCGUAUUUGAGGGAGGAACAAUGCAUCCUUGUUAAUAAAGCCAAACACUGCCUUCUGAAUGAUGGUUACAAGCAUUGUUUACUGAAAAGGAAAAAAAGACAAGAAGAGAAUAAAAUCCAGGAAUCUGGGCACACGGGAAGAAACCGUUGUGAGGAAUGUAAAGUGGAACCCAACAAAGAGUGUUUUGACUCAGUGUACCAUGUACAUGUCCGGUGUUCGUGGAGACCAGAAGAGGACCUCAGACAUCUGUGGAACUGGAGUCACAAAUAUUUACAAGCCAUUAUACAUGCUCCCAGCACCGUGUGACACUCACAGCAUCGUGUGACGCUCACAGCAUCGUGAGACACUCCAUCACGUUGGCUCACAAACUAUGUUGAGUUCCCCUGUGUCAGCUGGCAUAAGGUGUCAAACCUCUGCCUGCCACAUCUUCCAGGUCUCAGUCAUAAUUCCUAUUGCAACAGACUCUCUGAAGCAUUUCGAGGAGACUGCUGGUUGCCCUCAGACGAAGGAGAAAAGCACAGCAUGCCUUUGCUCAAGAUGUCUCUCCAUUGGCACCAGGAAAUAGGUUUGUAAACUUUCUGCAAGAGGCCAAGUCCUAUGAACUGUAUGAUUUCUGUCACAGACUCAUGCUGCUGCCUCUGCAGUCCCAAAGCUGCUGUAGGGGGACACUUAAAGGUAAAGGCUAGGGUGUGACCCAAAGCUUGAUACAGGGACACUGAAAUUUAAAUUUCAUGUCACUGACACAUAUUAAUCUCUUAUCCUAGCACAGGCGCAGACUCCCUAAGCCUAGAGAGUGUAACAGUGGGAGGUCUGAAGGAGAAAUACCAUCGUUAAGCUCAUGGGUUUGAACGCUUGUUUCCCAGUCUGUGGUGUUUGUGAGGUUGUGGGGCUUCUAAGAUGUGUAGCCUUGCUGGAGUCAGUGUUCCACUGUGGGUGAGGCUUCGGGAGUUUAUAGCCUCACCUUACUUCCUGUUCCUGGUCUCUACUUCCUGUGUGUGUAAAUGGUAUCAGUCAACUUCCUGUCACCAUGCCUGCCUGUCCCUUCCCCCAAAUACAAGCUGAAAUGAACUUUCUCUUCUAAGUUGUGCAGUUUUUUUUGCCUAGAUAUUUUGUUACAGUAAUAAAAGAGUAGCUGUCUUUUAUUUAAUGAACAUUUUCUAUGUCUUGAAAUAUACAUGGCAGUUUUUUUGUUGUAACUAAGUUUUGACUGAUCCUUCAGAAGUUUACUAACAAAAUACAGUCCUAAAGGCAUAUAUAGAGCAGGGGGUCAAUAAACUUCUCUUGUUUCCUUUUUUUAUUCAAAUUAAGUAUUCAGUGUCAUUGUGAUUGUCACCUCUUUUUUUCACAAAGUGUAUACAAGGAAAUAAAAUUAUCUAAAUUGAUAAUUUGCAAAAAAAAAAAAAAUUCAAGUGGCCCAACUCCAGACAGCAGCAGAUAUAGCAGGCUAUGAGCAAAAGGUCUGACAAGGAUAAAUCAGUGUUCUUUCUUCCCUAAGUCUAAAUAUAUGUUAUUAAUAUUGAAUGGCAUUGGCGAUGUCACAAGGAGAACAUUGAGCCUUCCCUCUUCUAG